CAGCCAUGCCGCGUGUGUGAAGAAGGCCUUAUGGUUGUAAAGCACUUUAAGCGAGGAGGAGGCUCUUUUGGUUAAUACCCAAGAUGAGUGGACGUUACUCGCAGAAUAAGCACCGGCUAACUCUGUGCCAGCAGCCGCGGUAAUACGUAGGGGGCGAGCGUUGUCCGGAUUUACUGGGCGUAAAGGGUGCGUAGGCGGCCUUGUAAGUCAGAUGUGAAAGGCUACGGCUCAACCGUAGUAAGCAUUUGAAACUGCAGGGCUUGAGUGCAGGAGAGGAGAGUGGAAUUCCUAGUGUAGCGGUGAAAUGCGUAGAUAUUAGGAGGAACACCAGUGGCGAAGGCGACUCUCUGGACUGUAACUGACGCUGAGGCACGAAAGCGUGGGGAGCAAACA
rnacentral:rRNA from 2 species